UGGGGGAUAUUGGACAAUGGGGGGAAACCCUGAUCCAGCGAUGCCGCGUGAGGGAAGAAGGUUUUCGGAUUGUAAACCUCUGUGAAAGGGGACGAUAAUGACGGUACCCUUUUAGAAAGCCACGGCUAACUACGUGCCAGCAGCCGCGGUAAUACGUAGGUGGCGAGCGUUGUCCGGAAUUACUGGGUGUAAAGGGAGUGUAGGCGGGAGAGCAAGUCAGAAGUGAAAAUUAUGGGCUUAACCCAUAACCUGCUUUUGAAACUGUUCUUCUUGAGUGAAGUAGAGGCAAGCGGAAUUCCUAGUGUAGCGGUGAAAUGCGUAGAUAUUAGGAGGAACACCAGUGGCGAAGGCGGCUUGCUGGGCUUUUACUGACGCUGAGGCUCGAAAGCGUGGGGAGCAAACAGGAUUAGAUACCCU
rnacentral:rRNA from 1 species